UCAAAUUGUUCUUUUAAGCUUGAAAGAUUUGGGCUUUCUUAAUUAAGGAAAACAAAGAUUGUUGAGUGAGUAGGAACUUAUGAGGUUCGAUUUUGCUGCUGCUCUGUUUUUAGUUCAGCAGGUAACCUGGUUUUUGUGCUGACAUUUUGAGGCAUUUAGAGGCUGAACCAAGCAGAGAGUUAAACAUGAAAGGUUCAUCCAAAGGCAAGGAAGUGGUAAGAGAAAAAGAAUAGGAUU